rnacentral:rRNA from 1 species
UACGUAGGGGGCAAGCGUUGUCCGGAUUUAUUGGGCGUAAAGCGCGUGUAGGCGGCCACGCAGGUCCGCUGUGAAAACUCGAGGCUCAACCUCGAGCUGUCGGUGGAAACCGCGUGGCUAGAGUCCGGAAGAGGGGACUGGAAUUCCCGGUGUAGCGGUGGAAUGCGCAGAUAUCGGGAGGAACACCCGUGGCGAAGGCGGGUCCCUGGGACGGUGCUGACGCUGAGACGCGAAAGCGUGGGGAGCGAACAGG